rnacentral:sRNA from 1 species
CAAGGAAAGGGCGUACAGACACUUCUGCAGUUUCAUUCUGUGACAUGA